UGAGUAAAUCGCCUUAUCGCUGUUCGUUUAAUCGAAUGGAGGAAAGUCCGAACACCACAGUGCAGUGUAGUGGCUAACGGCCACCAGUCGUGAGGCUAGGAAAAGUGCAACAGAAAGAAUGUACAGGUUAAGCUGUAGUGAAAUCAGGUAAACUCUACACGGUGCAAUGUCAUGUAAACCAGCGCUUAAGAGCGGCACGUUCAAUGCUGGAGGGUAGACAGCUAAAGUUGGCUGGUAACAGUAAACGCAGAUAAAUGAUAAGGACUCUUUGAGUACAGAAUUCGGCUUAUAGAUUUUCUCAGAUA
rnacentral:RNase_P_RNA from 1 species